rnacentral:rRNA from 1 species
GACGAACGCUGGCGGCGUGCUUAACACAUGCAAGUCGAACGGAAAGGCCCUGCUUUUGUGGGGUGCUCGAGUGGUGAACAGGUGAGUAACACGUGAGUAACCUGCCCUUGACUUUGGGAUAACUUCAGGAAACUGGGGCUAAUACCGGAUAGGAGCUCCUGCUGCAUGGUGGGGGUUGGAAAGUUUCGGCGGUUGGGGAUGGACUCGCGGCUUAUCAGCUUGUUGGUGGGGUAGUGGCUUACCAAGGCUUUGACGGGUAGCCGGCCUGAGAGGGUGACCGGCCACAUUGGGACUGAGAUACGGCCCAGACUCCUACGGGAGGCAGCAGUGGGGAAUAUUGCACAAUGGGCGGAAGCCUGAUGCAGCAACGCCGCGUGCGGGAUGACGGCCUUCGGGUUGUAAACCGCUUUCGCCUGUGACGAAGCGUGAGUGACGGUAAUGGGUAAAGAAGCACCGGCUAACUACGUG